GGCUCAGAACGAACGCUGGCGGCGUGCUUAACACAUGCAAGUCGAAACGCGAAAGGGACUUCGGGUCCUGAGGUAAAAGUGGCGCACGGGUGAGUAACGCGUAAGAUAACCUGUCUUCAUGGUCUGGAAUAAUACGCCGAAAGGGGUACUAAUACCGGAUAUCUUGCUUUUCAUAAGUUAUGCAAGCAAAGGUGGCCUCUGCAUAUGCUACUGCAUGAAGAGGGGUCUGCGUACCAUUAGCUAGUAGGUGGGGUAAUGGCCUACCUAGGGCGACGAUGGUUAGCGGGUCUGAGAGGACGAUCCGCCACACCUGGCACUGGAACACGGGCCAGACUCCUACGGGAGGCAGCAGUGAGGAAUAUUGCGCAAUGGGGGAAACCCUGACGCAGCGACGCCGCGUGAGUGAGGAAGGCCUUCGGGUCGUAAAGCUCUGUCAAGAGGAAAGAAGGUGUACAAUGGCUAAUACCUGUUGUUAUUUGACGGUACCUCUAAAGGAAGCACCGGCUAACUCCGUGCCAGCCGCCGC
rnacentral:rRNA from 1 species